rnacentral:lncRNA from 1 species
UUGGCUCAAGAGUGUUUACCCUAGCGGUUAGGGCUCUAUUCUCCUCACGCGUAGCGGCUAACUCAGUUUGGACAGCCGUUGAUUGAUUUUGUAAUUGUGCUAACUGUCGGGUGAUAGCUUCAAUGUGGGGAGGGUCCAUGGCAACGGUACUAGAGCUAGAGGCAGUAACGCGACCACUACGCAAUUGAUUACACGGUAACACAAGUUAGGUGAAGUGUCUACUGAGAUCAACAACCAACGAGUGCUAGCAGGGAAAAUAGUGAC